rnacentral:rRNA from 1 species
UGGGGUAUAUUGGACAAUGGGCGAAAGCCUGAUCCAGCCAUGCCGCGUGUGUGAAGAAGGUCUUCGGAUUGUAAAGCACUUUAAGUUGGGAGGAAGGGCAGUAAGCGAUUACCUUGCUGUUUUGACGUUACCGACAGAAUAAGCACCGGCUAACUCUGUGCCAGCAGCCGCGGUAAUACAGAGGGUGCAAGCGUUAAUCGGAAUUACUGGGCGUAAAGCGCGCGUAGGUGGUUCGUUAAGUUGAAUGUGAAAGCCCCGGGCUCAACCGGGGAAAUGAGUACAAAACGGGCGAGCUAGAGUAGGGCAGAGGGUGGGGGAAUUUCCUGUCGAGCGGUGAAAUGCGUAGAUAUAGGAAGGAACACCAGUGGCGAAGGCGACCACCUGGGCUCAUACUGACACUGAGGUGCGAAAGCGUGGGGAGCAAACAGG